rfam:Myotis davidii contig127052, whole genome shotgun sequence.
GGCAGUUGUCGGGUGAUGCAUCCCGGAAUUGGCCUCCCUCCUCUCCGGUUCUGGGUGUGUCACCUGAGAACCACA